AUACGGAGGGUGCAAACGUUGUUCGGAAUUACUGGGCGUAAAGCGCGCGUAGGCGGUUUGUUAAGUCAGAUGUGAAAGUCCACAGCACAACUGUGGAAGUGCAUUUGAAACUGGCAGACUUGAGUACUGGAGGGGGUGGUGGAAUUCCCGGUGUAGAGGUGAAAUUCGUAGAUAUCGGGAGGAAUACCGGUGGCGAAGGCGACCACCUGGCCAGAUACUGACGCUGAGGUGCGAAAGCGUGGGGAGCAAACAGGAUUAGAAACCCUAGUAGUCC
rnacentral:rRNA from 1 species